AUAUUUUGUAGAGGCGCGGUUGCCAAGAGUAGAUUAUAGGAUUUUUACAAGAAAAGAUGAUUAUAGUCAAAAGGGGUAAUCGCCGAAGAUUAAAUAGCUUGUACUAUUUAUUUCUGGUUGUCUGGUUAAUAGCUAUACAACUGUCAUCCUUUAUUAUACAAUAAGGAUGGAGUGCUACAUAUAAU
rnacentral:ncRNA from 2 species